rnacentral:rRNA from 1 species
AGGACGAACGCUGGCGGCGUGCUUAACACAUGCAAGUCGAACGAGGUGGAUCCGGUAGCAAUACCGGUGAACUCCUAGUGGCGAACGGGUGAGUAACACGUGAGCAACCUGCCCCGAAGACCGGGAUAACAGCGGGAAACCGCUGCUAAUACCGGAUGUCCCCACUGGAUCGCAUGGUCCGGUGAGGAAAUGGAUUCCGCUUCGGGAGGGACUCGCGGCCUAUCAGCUUGUUGGUGAGGUAACGGCCCACCAAGGCGACGACGGGUAGCUGGUCUGAGAGGACGAUCAGCCACACUGGGACUGAGACACGGCCCAGACUCCUACGGGAGGCAGCAGUGGGGAAUCUUGCGCAAUGGGCGAAAGCCUGACGCAGCAACGCCGCGUGCGGGAUGAAGGCCUUCGGGUGUAAACCGCUUUCAGCAGGGACGAAGCGAAAGUGACGGUACCUGCAGAGAAGCACCGGCCAACUACGCGCCAGCAGCCGCGGU